UUAAAGAGUAAGGGUGCUCAGCGCCCGACCUCCAACCCUUUGUUGUUAAAACUACCUUGUUGCUUUGGCGGGACCGCUCGGUUCCGAGCCGCUGGGGAUUCGUCCCAGGCGAGUGCCCGCCAGAGUUAAACCAAACUCUUGUUAUUAAACCGGUCGUCUGAGUUAAAAUUUUGAAUAAAUCAAAACUUUCAACAACGGAUCUCUUGGUUCUCGCAUCGAUGAAGAACGCAGCGAAAUGCGAUAAGUAAUGUGAAUUGCAGAAUUCAGUGAAUCAUCGAAUCUUUGAACGCACAUUGCGCCCCUUGGUAUUCCGAGGGGCAUGCCUGUUCGAGCGUCAUUACACCACUCAAGCUAUGCUUGGUAUUGGGUGCCGUCCUUAGUUGGGCGCGCCUUAAAGACCUCGGCGAGGCCACUCCGGCUUUAGGCGUAGUAGAAUUUAUUCGAACGUCUGUCAAAGGAGAGGAACUCUGCCGAUUGAAACCUUUAUUUUUCUAGGUUGACCUCGGAUCAGGUAGGGAUACCCGCUGAACUUAA
rnacentral:misc_RNA from 1 species